AAUUGCUGCAUUAACAACAACUAAGUCUUUUUUCCGAUCUUAAAUAUACUUUUGCAUUCCUCAAAUAGAGAUGAAGCCCUUAUGCCAAGGAGGUGUCACCAAUGCACAAUACAUGGGUCAACAGUCGUAUCACAAUAAUAUCAUCUCAUGACUUUCUGUAAUUUGAAAGAUAAUGUUCCUAUUUAAUUUAAUUUUUUAUUUUUCAAUGUUAAUGCUUGAACCUAAAUCUUUACUGAACAUACAUGUACACACUACUUAUUAAAUAGUUGGUUCCUUAUGUAUUUAAAUAUUAACAUCAUCCUAUUUUCCAUAUACAACGUUCGUUUGAUCUGAAAAAAUUUGGGUUAACGUAUUUAUACUGAAAAAAAAAUCAUAUUUAAAAGAAACAAUAUCUAUCAAAUUAAAGUCAUGUGAUGAUAUAAUUGUGAUACAACUGUCAAAGCAUAUAGUGCAUUGGCACCACCUCCUGUUCUCAGCGCCACCUCCUUGGCAUUGGCUCCAUCUCUUUUGGAAGAAUGCACAAGUACCGAUUACAUGGGCAAUGAGCCUAUGUUUUUGUUAAUGAAGCAACUUGUUUACUUUAUAAGCAAUCGUUUGAUGUUGUAAGCGAUUUAAUUGGAAGGAAAUUUUCUUGUCACACAGGCAAAAAUAUAUUUGCUUUUAAAAUCUCCACCUCGUCAUUAUGUAUACAUUUCCCUCAUGUUUCCAAUGGGUUGAGAUUGUAUGAUUCUGUACAUUUGUAGAUGAAUUAAUCUUUUCCAAAUCGCCCUUAAUUGACAAAUUUCGAAACUUAUUCGAAAUAUGUUGAAAAACAUGUAAAACCUACUAAACCAGUGAAAUUGUCCAUGUAUUCUUAAAACUUCGGGACGUAAGCGCCACCUCAGAAGUAUCAUUGGAUCGUUUAUUAGUGCAUUACAAAAAAAGCGGUGGCACCCAUGAUUAUAAAUAGCAGUGUACUCAUGAAGUCCAUUUAAGCACAAAUAUGGUGCUUGAAUUGUUUCCCAUAUCCCUAUUUGGUUUUGUCUGUACAUGUAUGUCACAAGAUCAACCCUUUCAGUGCUGGAACCGAAUUUUGGCGUUUCAUCCAGAUCGCAACUGUUUGCUAUUAUGAUGGUAGUCUUUAAAAAAAAAACGAAGAAAAUGACAGUUUUAAAAAUUAUGCAGACGGUAUUUUAGCAGACGACAAAAAUCUCAGCAUGCAAAUGCUAAAUGAAUCUAUAACAGUAAAUGAAUCCAUAACAGUAUUCUCAUUUUGAUAAGCUUUGAUAGAUUUGAUUGCAGUGCAAAACCUAAUAUAUUUAUCAAUAUAAUUUUAAUUUAUUCAUGCUUGAAGGUUUGCUACUAAAUGUCGGUUAAAUAGUAAGGAUCUAACAUGAGUUGUGACAUUUCUUACAAUCUUUUAUGAAACAAGUUUAGAAAUUAAUUUUAAAAAGAAACAUUCUUUAUAAAUGUCUUAUACAAAACAUGUUGAUAAAUACAAGUAUAAUACUUACACCACACAACUAUUUAAAGUUUGCCAAGUAUAUCUGCAUUUGAUUUGAUGAAGUAAAAUAAGCCAAUAAGAAUGCUAUGAAAAAAUUAUGUUGACAAAUAUUUUGAAACUUACACCAGUAAAGAAGCUUGAAGUGUCACAUGCAUUGUGCAAUGAUGUGUACUUUUAGCUGUUUUACAGAUGUGGUCCAUGUUGCCCUGCAUUAUCCCUUUCAGUGCGGGAACCGAAUUUUGAAGGCCUUUGCAAACAGUUUGGAUCCAGAUGAGAUGCCACAGAACGUGGCGUCUCAUCAGGAUCCAAACUGUUUGCUAUUCUGAUAGUAUUCUGUGAAAAAAAUCGAAGAAAAUGCUAAUUUUAGAAAUUCAGCAGACGACAUUUUAGCAGACGACAAAUUUCCCAGCAUGCAAAGGGUUAAUACCAGAAUGUGUCAUCAUAAGCUCAUAAAUUGCACAAAACCUUAACAUAAAUACAAAUAUGUUGCUAAUUAUAUGUUGGGAAAUAGCUACACAUACACAACAUUUACUUUGUGUUGCUUUUUAUCUUCUUCUACAAAGAAAACAUUUUGGGUCAUCGUUUGUUUUAUACCUUUAUACUAAUAUAUUUAAUGAAUUCACAAUUGAACUUAUGGUAAAAAAGUCACGGUGCAAAUUUAAAGGCUGUAUGCAUUACAGGCAUAUACAUCAGCAUGAAUUAAAGUUUCAUGUUCCUUCAUUUAGUUUUCGUAUGGUCGAAAAAUUCUGUUAAGUAGCGACUUUAUUGUUUUUAUGAUUAAAUUUCUUCAUGUGGUCAUCAGUCUAAGUGUUCGGGGUUUCAGUUCAGUCUGAGUGUUAGAGGUUUCAGUUCAGUCUGAGUGUUGGGGGUUUCAGUUCAGUCUAAGUGUUGGGGGUUUCAGUUCAGUCUAAGUGUUAGAGGUUUCAGUUCAGUCUGAGUGUUAGAGGUUUCAGUUCAGUCUGAGUGUUAGAGGUUUCAGUUUAGUCUGAGUGUUGGGGGUUUCAGUUCAGUCUGAGUGUUAGAGGUUUCAGUUCAGUCUGAGUGUUAGAGGUUUCAGUUCAGUCUGAGUGUUAGAGGUUUCAGUUCAGUCUAAGUGUUGGGGGUUUCAGUUCAGUCUAAGUGUUGGGGGUUUCAGUUCAGUCUGAGUGUUGGGGGUUUCAGUUCAGUCUAAGUGUUGGGGGUUUCAGUUCAGUCUGAGUGUUGGGGGUUUCAGUUCAUUGUGUUGGGGGUUUCAGUUCAUUGUGUUGGGGGUUUCAGUUCAUUGUGUUGGGGGUUUCAGUUCAUUGUGCUGGGGGUUUCAGUUCAGUCUGAGUGUUGGGGGUUUCAGUUCAUUGUGUUGGGAGUUUCAGUUCAUUGUGCUGGGGGUUUCAGUUCAUUGUGUUGGGGGUAUGAGUUCAUUGUGUAUUAUUUUGAAAGGUGUCGAUACUAAAAACAUAGUGGUUGUUUUUUUUCUUCUUCUAGUUUUCUCUCCGUGAUUGAUUUCCUAUUCUUUAAAUUUGUGUAUUUAUUUUCUUUACAAUUAUAGAUAUGAAUCAUUCACAUUCCUUCCCUUUGAUAUGGCAAGUAUCGUAAUCCGUUGUCUCUUAACUUUUGUAUUUGAUAUUUGAUUCCUGGGCAGCAAAAUUUCAAUACUGUGUCAACUGUGUGUGUUUUUGUUUGUUUACUACUUAUAGUGAACUAGAAAAUUUCUAUAAUGAUAUCCUUCUAUUGUCAAUUAUUCUGGAUAUCCCUUUCUUACGCACAAUUUGAGUUGUGUUUUGACUUAUUAAUAAAAAAUAAAAAUCGUGCAAUAUUAUGAGUAUUCAGUGUCCUUGAGAUGUUUGUGUCGUUUUAAUUCUUUUUGACCCAUAAAUGGGGUUGAUGGAGGGAACAGAAAUUUGGAUAUGUUAAUAAUGUUUGGGAGGGAAAGGAAUCUGGGAUUUGCCAAUUAAUAACAAUUCUUUAGUUUUAUCCACAGAACCAAGUAAUUUACCAAGUAUUAUACCUUAUAAAAAAAUAGUUCUUUUUUCAAUUACUCAAUCAAUAGGUAAUUUGAUUUAUUACAUUAUCAAUCCAAAUUUAUCAAAUUUUUGUCAUAGUGUAAUUUCAUCACUAUUUUGGUAAUAAUUUUUUUUAUUAUCAUAUAAAGGCAACUUAUUUGUUAAUCUGUAACUCAAUACUGAAGUAGGAUCAGUUAUUUAAGAUAUUUCACAAUGGUGUAGGCUUAUAACAACAAGCUUUUAUUUCAUUUGUUAAUUUCUUAUACACUACUUAUUAUCUGAUGUUUUGAAUAUGAUAAGAAUAUUUAGUUUUUAUGCCCCCGGUAGGAUGGCAUAUAGUGAUCGCACUGUCCGUCUGUCUGUCUGAAAUUCCAUCACACUUUGCAUUUAGGUUUUGCGUUUAGGUUUUGCGUGAAGGUUUCGAUUUAAUUCUUUCUUUUUUUUUUCAAAGCAGCGCAGUAGGGGGCAUUGUGUUUCUGACAAAAACAUCUCUUGUUCAAAUAAUUUUGGUAUUCAAUAAUUUUAUUAAUGUGAACAUUUAAACUUAUUGUUUCAUAAUUGUUAAUUCAGUGUGUGGUGUGGAGGCUGAGUAUAUUUAUUUAUAAUAUUGGUAAGAAACUAUGUCAAAUGUAAACUUUUUGUGAUUUUGUUUGGAAAUGAUAAGAAUAUUAAGUUUAUCAAAACAUGUUGGUAUUCAAUCAUUUAAGUAACUCUGUUAAUAAUUUGGUGGCUCUGGUGUGUUGGGUAUAGUUUAGGUUGUAUGUACAAAUUUAGAAGCUGAGUAUAUUUAUUCAUAAUAUUGUUAAGAAACUAUGUCAAAUGUAAACUUUUUGUGAUUAUGUUUGGAAAUGUUUGAAAUGAUAAGAAUAUUCAGUUUUUCAAAACAUUUUGGUAUUCAAUCAUUUUAGUAACUCUGUUAAUAAUUUGGUGGCUCUGGUGUGUUGGGUAUAGUUUAGGUUGUAUGUACAAAUUUAGAAGCUGAGUAUAUUUAUUCAUAAUAUUGUUAAGAAACUAUGUCAAAUGUAAACUUUUUGUGAUUAUGUUUGGAAAUGUUUGAAAUGAUAAGAAUAUUCAGUUUUUCAAAACAUUUUGGUAUUCAAUCAUUUUAGUAACUCUGUUAAUAAUUUGGUGGCUCUGGUGUGUUGGGUAUAGUUUAGGUUUUAUGUACAAAUUUAGAAGCUGAGUAUAUUUAUUCAUAAUAUUGUUAAGAAACUAUGUCAAAUGUAAACUUUUUGUGAUUUUGUUAGGAAAUGUUGGAAAUGAUAAGAAUAUUUAUUUUUUCAAAACAUUUUGGUAUUCAAUCACUAAGUAACUCUGUUAAUAAUUUGGUGGCUCUGGUGUGUUGGGUAUAGUUCAGGUUUUAUGUACAAAUUUAGAAGCUGAGUAUAUUUAUUUAUAAUAUUGUUAAGAAACUAUGUCAAAUGUAAACUUUUUGUGAUUUUGCUUGGGAAUGUUAGAAAUGAUAAGAAUAUUUAGUUUUUCAAAACAUUUUGGUAUUCAAUCAUUUAAGUAACUCUGUUAAUAAUUUGGUGGCUCUGGUUUGUUGGGUAUAGUUUAUGUUUUAUGAACCAAUUUAUUUAUGAAACUAUGUGGAAAUUGAGAAUGAAGUUGCAUUUGUCCCAAUUUCUGGAUUGAACGGAGACAACAUGAUUGAUUCAACAGAUAAGAUGCCCUGUUACAAGGGAUGGGCCUUUGAGAGGAAGGAAGGCAAUGUGUCUUGAAAGACCCUGUUUGAGGCUUUCGCCUUGACCAUACUAGAAGCCCCUGCUCUGCCACUCCAGGACGCCUACAAAAUUGGAGGUAUUGUAACAGUGCCAAGUGGGGACUGGUAUCCUCAAGCCCGGCAUGGUGGUCACAUUCUCCCCUGCCAGCAUCACCACUGAUGUUGGAUUCAAUGUCAACAACAUCUCUGUCAAGGAAAUCAGAACAGGAAACGUCACUGGCGACUCCAAGAACGUAUUUUUUGCUUACCAAACACUUUUUGUAUAUAAAUUGUUACAGCAUUUUUUGUUAUGUCUUUCAUGUAAAUAUAUUUUGCUUGUCUUGUGAUGUAGAUGUCAAAGAUACCAUGGUAAGAAAUCUUGUUGGCCUGAACCACCAUAGAGAUUUCUUCCAUGGUAUCUCUGACAUUUACAUUGCAGACAUUUUUAGUUAUGUGUAAAGUCAGUUUGUAUUUUGUUUGUCUUGUGAUGUAAAUGUCAGAGAUACCAUGGUAAGAAAUCUUGUUGGCCUGAACCACCAUAGAGAUUUCUCUCAUGGUAUCUCUGACAUUUACAUUGCAGACAUUUUUUGUUAUGUGUAAAGUCAGUUUGUAUUUUGUUUGUCUUGUGAUGUAGAUGUCAGAGAUACCAUGGUAAGAAAUCUUGUUGGCCUGACCAACCAUAGAGAUUUCUUCCAUGAUAUCUCUGACAUUUACAUUGCAGACAUUUUUUGUUAUGUGUUCAGUCAGUUUGUAUUUUGCUUGUCUUGUGAUGUAGAUGUCAGAGAUACCAUGGUAAGAAAUCUUGUUGGCCUGACCAACCAUAGAGAUUUCUUUCAUGAUAUCUCUGACAUUUACUUAGCAGACUUUAUAACUUACUGACUAUAAAACAUUUGUCAAAAGCUUAACUCUUUUUUUUAUAUCUUUAAACUUUAACACCAACAACAAAUUGACUCAUUUAUUUUUUUUUGCAAAUUAGACAUCUCCCAUUAUUCAAAUCAUUAUGUAGAAAAAAGUACCUGUUUUUUUUUGUUUUUUUUUAUUAAGCUGUGGGUUUUUACAAGUUGUAAUAUUUUUUUUGGUAUGAAAUUAAAGAUUUUGAC